GUGGGGAAUCUUCCGCAAUGGGCGAAAGCCUGACGGAGCAACGCCGCGUGAGUGAAGAAGGCCUUCGGGUCGUAAAGCUCUGUCUUUAGGGACGAACCGCGUAUGGAGUAAUAUGCCAUACGUCUGACGGUACCUAAGGAGGAAGCUCCGGCUAACUACGUGCCAGCAGCCGCGGUAAUACGUAGGGAGCGAGCGUUGUCCGGAAUUACUGGGCGUAAAGGGCGCGUAGGCGGAGGUUUAAGUAGGGUGUGAAAACUAUGGGCUCAACCGAUAGACUGCAUCCUAAACUGGGCCUCUUGAGGGCAGGAGAGGAAAGUGGAAUUCCUAGUGUAGCGGUGAAAUGCGUAGAUAUUAGGAGGAACACCAGUGGCGAAGGCGACUUUCUGGACUGUACCUGACGCUGAGGCGCGAAAGCGUGGGGAGCGAACAGGAUUAGAUACCCCUGUAGUCC
rnacentral:rRNA from 1 species